AGUGAACGCUGGCGGUAGGCCUAACACAUGCAAGUCGAACGGCAGCACAGUAAGAGCUUGCUCUUACGGGUGGCGAGUGGCGGACUGGUGAGGAAUACAUCGGAAUCUACUUUUUCGUUGGGGAUAACGUAGGGAAACUUACGCUAAUACCGCAUACGACCUACGGGUGAAAGCAAGGGAUCUUCGGACCUUACGCGAUUGAAUGAGCCGAUGUCGGAUUAGCUAGUUGGCGGGGUAAAGGCCCACCAAGUCGACGAUCCGUAGCUGGUCUGAGAGGAUGAUCAGCCACACUGGAACUGAGACACGGUCCAGACUCCUACGGGAGGCAGCAGUGGGGAAUAUUGGACAAUGGGCGCAAGCCUGAUCCAGCCAUACCGCGUGGGUGAAGAAGGCCUUCGGGUUGUAAAGCCCUUUUGUUGGGAAAGAAAAGCAGCAGGUUAAUACCCCGCUGUUCUGACGGUACCCAAAGAAUAAGCACCGGCUAACUUCGUG
rnacentral:rRNA from 1 species